GCGCCCGUAGCUCAGCUGGAUAGAGCGUUUGCCUCCGGAGCAAAAGGUCGGUGGUUCGACUCCACUCGGGCGUACCA
rnacentral:tRNA from 1 species